rnacentral:ncRNA from 1 species
UGGGGCUGAACAAGGUCCCAAGGGUCCGGCUGUUCGCCGGUUAAAAGGGUACGCGAGCUGGGUUUAGAACGUCGUGAGACAGUUCGGUCUCUAUCUGAUGUGGGCGUGUGAUACUUGAAGAGGAGAUCUCCUUAGUACGAGAGGACCGGGAGAUACGAACCUCUGGUGUUCCAGCUAUCCUGCCAAGGGUAAUGGCUGGGUAGCCAUGUUCGGAAGGGAUAAGCGCUGAAUGCAUCUAAGUGCGAAGCCCCCCUCAAGAUUAAGUAUCGAUUCCCGUAAGGGAGAAAGGCACCUUGUAGACUACGAGGUUGAUAGGCUGCGUGUGUAAGAGCUUAAUAGGCUUUUAGCUAAGCAGUACUAAUUUGCCGACAGCUUGACCUU